AUUGAACGCUGGCGGCAUGCUUUACACAUGCAAGUCGAACGGCAGCGCGGGGGCAACCCUGGCGGCGAGUGGCGAACGGGUGAGUAAUGCAUCGGAACGUAUCCUGUAAUGGGGGGAUAACGUAGCGAAAGUUACGCUAAUACCGCAUACGCUCGAGAGAGGAAAGUGGGGGAUCGCAAGACCUCACGUUAUAGGAGCGGCCGAUGUCCGAUUAGCUAGUUGGUAGGGUAACGGCCUACCAAGGCGACGAUCAGUAGGGGGCGUGAGAGCGUGGUCCCCCCACACGGGUACUGAGACACGGACCCGACUCCUACGGGAGGCAGCAGUGGGGAAUCUUAGACAAUGGGCGCAAGCCUGAUCUAGCCAUGCCGCGUGAGCGAUGAAGGCCUUAGGGUUGUAAAGCUCUUCAGUGGGGAAGAUAUUAGCACGGGGUUAACUACCCUGUGUAGGAUGACGGUCCCGAAUAAGGAAGCACCGGCUAACUA
rnacentral:rRNA from 1 species